AAAUAAUAAUAAAAAACCUCCAACCAACUUUACACCUCAUCCUAAUAACCUACCUAUCCCACCCCCCAUAUUUUAUUCUUUUUCCAUAACAAAAUGGGCCCCACAGGGAAUACAAUAUAGAUACAUGGAUAAUUACCAAACCAAAAAAAAGACACCUGGACACAAAAGCAAAAAGAGAACCCACUGGAAAAUACUUUUGCUCUAAAAAAAAAAAAUCAUUCACAUAAACACCAACACAAGACAAAAAGGAGGGGACCUUCACUCACAAUUCACACACAUACUCACAAUUCAGUGGAUCCUCACCAAAAAAAAAUAGAACAAACACACUCCAUUGCUUUCUUUUUAUCUUUUUCAAGAUCACUCAACACACAAACAGAAAUAUUAUAGACCACAAAAUAGAAAACAAUUCAUACUCAUCCUCAAGCAACAGUCAUACAUGCACCCUCCUCCAUUUUCAUCAUCACUCAACCAUACUCGCAUAAUACACAAAUAGAGAGAGAGAGAGAGAGAUGACAGGAGAAUGACGUGAGAGGAGAGAUCAAGUGGUUUGGCCGGAGAUAUCAAAAGGUUUAAAAGAAAAUAAAGAAUUAAGGACUGCUUGAAGGAAAAUUUGGAACCAAAACAGGGAGAUCGAGAAGAGAGAGUUGAGAUCGAGAGAGUGGAGAGUAACACGGGGCUGAGGGAACACAAGUUUUCAUGGCUUGGUUACUGUACCAGCGACGGGUUCACCAAAAAAUGCAUCACAGCCGUAUUCCUUCUUCGUUUUUGGUAAUCGGAGCUCGCCGGAGCUACGACUAUAGAGAGCAGUUAAGCAAACCCCGAUUUUACUUUCGAUUUAGUCCAUGCUCAUUGAAAUCUAUUCCGAGUUAGGGUUCAUAUUUGAGGUUCAAAUUGAGGUAUUCCAGCGCCGCUUAGUCGAGCAAUUCAAUUAAAAUAAAACGUCAAAUUUGAGGUUAUGCUGGAUAGGCAAACGGUAGGCUCGGGCAGGCAAAAUUAGGACUUUUGAAUGAUGAAAAUAUUCGUUGAAUGUUGUUUUUGUCGUAUUUGGAAGUGUAUUCAUUUAGCCGGGGAAUGCCCUGAGGUAUUUGUGUUUAUUCGUCGGAGAAUGUCCCGAAGUAUUUUGUACUCGAAAGACGUUCGUGACGAAGGCCCGAGGCGGCGGGUUGGAGUUCAGUGUAGGAUUAGUUUAGAAGAGAAUAGGUUUUACCUUUCCGUAUGUUUUUUUAUAUUUUGGACUGUAUAAGUUCGACUGUACAUUAUUUUGGUUUUGAAUUUUGUGUGAUUUGUUUGUGUGCUUGA